UACGUAGGGGGCUAGCGUUGUCCGGAUUUAUUGGGCGUAAAGAGCGUGUAGGCGGCUUUGCAGGUCUGCUGUGAAAACUCGAGGCUCAACCUCGAGACGCCGGUGGAAACCGUCAAGCUAGAGUCCGGAAGAGGAGAGUGGAAUUCCUGGUGUAGCGGUGAAAUGCGCAGAUAUCAGGAGGAACACCCGUGGCGAAAGCGGCUCUCUGGGACGGUACUGACGCUGAGACGCGAAAGCGUGGGGAGCAAACAGG
rnacentral:rRNA from 1 species